rnacentral:rRNA from 1 species
GACGAACGUUGGCGGCGUGCUUAACACAUGCAAGUCGAACGGAAAGGCCCUGCUUUUGUGGGGUGCUCGAGUGGCGAACGGGUGAGUAACACGUGAGUAACCUGCCCUUGACUUUGGGAUAACUUCAGGAAACUGGGGCUAAUACCGGAUAGGAGCUCCUGCUGCAUGGUGGGGGUUGGAAAGUUUCGGCGGUUGGGGAUGGACUCGCGGCCUAUCAGCUUGUUGGUGGGGUAGUGGCUUACCAAGGCUUUGACGGGUAGCCGGCCUGAGAGGGUGACCGGCCACAUUGGGACUGAGAUACGGCCCAGACUCCUACGGGAGGCAGCAGUGGGGAAUAUUGCACAAUGGGCGGAAGCCUGAUGCAGCAACGCCGCGUGCGGGAUGACGGCCUUCGGGUUGUAAACCGCUUUCGCCUGUGACGAAGCGUGAGUGACGGUAAUGGGUAAAGAAGCACCGGCUAACUACGUGCCAGCAGCCGCGGUGAUACGUAGGGUGCGAGCGUUGUCCGGAUUUAUUGGGCGUAAAGGGCUCGUAGGUGGUUGAUCGCGUCGGAAGUGUAAUCUUGGGGCUUAACCCUGAGCGUGCCUUCGAUACGGGUUGACUUGAGGAAGGUAGGGGAGAAUGGAAUUCCUGGUGGAGCGGUGGAAUGCGCAGAUAUCAGGAGGAACACCAGUGGCGAAGGCGGUUCUCUGGGCCUUUCCUGACGCUGAGGAGCGAAAGCGUGGGGAGCGAACAGGCUUAGAUACCCUGGUAGUCCACGCUGUAAACGGUGGGUACUAGGUGUGGGGUCCAUUCCACGGGUUCCGUGCCGUAGCUAACGCUUUAAGUACCCCGCCUGGGGAGUACGGCCGCAAGGCUAAAACUCAAAGGAAUUGACGGGGCCCCGCACAAGCGGCGGAGCAUGCGGAUUAAUUCGAUGCAACGCGUAGAACCUUACCUGGGUUUGACAUGGAUCGGGAGUGCUCAGAGAUGGGUGUGCCUCUUUUGGGGUCGGUUCACAGGUGGUGCAUGGCUGUCGUCAGCUCGUGUCGUGAGAUGUUGGGUUAAGUCCCGCAACGAGCGCAACCCUUGUUCACUGUUGCCAGCACGUUAUGGUGGGGACUCAGUGGAGACCGCCGGGGUCAACUCGGAGGAAGGUGGGGAUGACGUCAAGUCAUCAUGCCCCUUAUGUCCAGGGCUUCACGCAUGCUACAAUGGCUGGUACAGAGAGUGGCGAGCCUGUGAGGGUGAGCGAAUCUCGGAAAGCCGGUCUCAGUUCGGAUUGGGGUCUGCAACUCGACCUCAUGAAGUCGGAGUCGCUAGUAAUCGCAGAUCAGCAACGCUGCGGUGAAUACGUUCCCGGGGCU